rnacentral:rRNA from 1 species
GACGAACGCUGGCGGCGUGCUUAACACAUGCCAGUCGAACGGAAAGGCCCCUUUCUUGGUCCUCUAGUGUCGGACGGGGGAGUAACACUUAAGUAACCUUCCCUUAACUUCGGGAUAACGUCAGGAAACUGGGGCCAAUACUGGUUAGGAAUCCUUUCUUCAUGGGGGGGGUUGGAAAGCGUCGGCGGGUUUUGAUGGACUCACUACUUAUCAGCUUGUUGCUUGGGUAGUGGCUUACCAAGGUUAUGUCGGGUAGCCGCACUGCGAGGGCGACCGGCCACAUAGACACUGAGAGAAGGCCCAGACACCUAAGGGAGGGAGAAGUGCGGAAUAUUGAACGAUGGGCGGCAGGCGGAUGAAGAAACGCCGCGGGCGGGAUGACGGUCUUAGGGUUGAAAACCGCAUUCAGAAGGGGCGAAGCUUGUGGUGACGGUACCUGAAGAAGAAGCCCCGGCUAACUACGUG